rnacentral:tRNA from 1 species
UCCCAUGUGGUCUAGUGGUCAAGAUUCCUGGUUUUCACCUAGGUGGCCUGGGUUCGAUUCCCAGUGUGGGAG